GGAAGUAAAAGUCGUAACAAGAUUUCCGUAGGUGAACCUGCGGAAGGAUCAUUAUUGUAUAACCGAGGUGCGAGGGCUGUCGCUGACCCGAAAGGUCGUGCACGCCCGUGUGCCCUCACACACAUCCAUCUCACCCCUAUGUGCACCACCGCGUGGGUCCCCCUUUGGCUUGUUCGGAGGGGGGCUUACGUUUUCACACAAACUUUGUAUGCAGUGUAGAAUGUAUUUUUUGUUUUUGCGAUCACGCAAUCAAUACAACUUUCAACAACGGAUCUCUUGGCUCUC
rnacentral:misc_RNA from 1 species